rnacentral:SRP_RNA from 1 species
GUUGGGUGUUGUGGCUGGUGCCUGUAGUCCCAGCUACUUGGGAGGCUGAGGCAAGAGAAUUGCCCAAGCCCAGGAGUUAGAGGUUGCUGUGAGCUGUGAUGCCACAGCACUCUACCAAGGGUGAUAAAGUGAGACUCAUGUCUCUACCCUUGGUAGAGUGCUGUGGCAUCACAGCUCACAGCAACCUCAAACUCUUGGGCUUAAGCAAUUCUCUUGCCUCAA